UAUUAGAAGAAUUAAUGUAAGUGCUUUUAUAAAAUUAUAAUUGUUGCUAUCGGGCACUUCUUACUUGUAAAAAUGAUCAUUUUUACUCAAUAAUUACAUUAAUGUCCAUUCCUGUUAUCAACAAUUGAAUUACAACUAGUAGAAAUGAUUGUUUUUGAUAUCUGUAACUUGGUAUUCACCAGUGGCAAUGUUAAUUUCAGAAAUCUGUAAUGUGAUUAAUGUGAUACAUUACAUUUCCAGAUACUGUAUCUGAAAUACAAAAUGUAACAUGUUGAAAUACAUUAAUAGACAAUAAUUGACAUUUUAUGCAUUUAAUUUGACAUUAAAUGUCAAAAGGGCUUGUGAUAGGGUGUGUGCGCUUGUCUGUGAAAUUAUGAAUGGGCUGUGAGUGUGCGUGCGUGUUUUGUGUGAAAGAGAGAAAGGGAGGGAUGGAGAGACUGUGCUUUGUGAAACGAGGAAUCGCUCACAGCUCUCCUUUUCUGACAGGCAGAAAGAGGUUUAACAGGCAGUUUCUUGUAUGUACAACAGAUUCUGUUUGAGACACCAUCUGUUUUUGCGCUCUGGUCUACACACUUGUCUGAUCAAAGCAUUACAUUAUGGAUCAGAAGUCCACCUCCCCUCAGAGGCAGCCCGUGAAAAACAGGUCCAAGUCCACAGAGGAAGUCCAGCAAGUCAAAAAGGCCUUCCACAUACCCCAGAAAUCAUUGCCUGGUGGCUCUGACCUCCUGGAGAAUGUGAAGGAGGGACCAGAGGAAAAUGUGACUCCAGCAUCAUCCACAGAAGAGCUGAAGUGAUGCUGCCAUCAAUCUGUGUUUAGCACACACACACACACACACACACACACACACACACAUACAAUCAUUGCAAUGGAGCGGUUCAGUACAAUUACAGCAGUUACAGACAAUUACAUUAUCGUUGGUGGAACAAAACUUCAUUACUAAGUACAGCUCAGCACACACAAACUCAUGGUAAAUAGCUAAAUGAGGACAUACCAUAGACUUCUAUUGUUUUUUAAAUAAUUGUUAAUUGUUAUUGCUAUAGACUAAUCCUAACCCUAAACAAAACACUUGAAUUUUAUUAAUAAUUCUUCCAUACAGGGAAAAAACUCUGCCGUUCAACACACAUUUGUCUGAAUUGCUGUACACUGUCAUGCCGUGUAUAUAAACUGACUGCUUACAUGAUGAACAUGAGUGGCAUGUGUGUUACAUUUUUAUUGCUUAAAUGCAUAACGUACUAACAAUGACAUCUAAGCAUAUUUCAUACAUCCCUAAAGCAUUCAGGACAGUGAACUGCAAGCUGAAUUCACACAGUGCUCAAAGCAAAUAAACUUGAU